rnacentral:rRNA from 1 species
CAGGCCUAACACAUGCAAGUCGAGCGAGAAAGCCCUUCGGGGUGAGUACAGCGGCGGACGGGUGAGUAACGCGUAGGAAUCUACCCAGUAGUGGGGGACAACUAGUGGAAACGCUAGCUAAUACCGCAUACGCCCUAAGGGGGAAAGCGGGGGAUCUUCGGACCUCGUGCUAUUGGAUGAGCCUGCGUAAGAUUAGCUUGUUGGUGAGGUAAUGGCUCACCAAGGCUACGAUCUUUAGCUGGUCUGAGAGGAUGAUCAGCCACACCGGGACUGAGACACGGCCCGGACUCCUACGGGAGGCAGCAGUCGGGAAUAUUGCGCAAUGGGGGAAACCCUGACGCAGCCAUGCCGCGUGUGUGAAGAAGGCCCUAGGGUUGUAAAGCACUUUCAAUUGGGAGGAAAAGCUAAUGGUUAAUAACCAUUAGCCCUGACGUUACCUUUAGAAGAAGCACCGGCUAACUCCGUGCCAGCAGCCGCGGUAAUACGGAGGGUGCAAGCGUUAAUCGGAAUUACUGGGCGUAAAGCGCGCGUAGGCGGUUUUUUAAGUCGGAUGUGAAAGCCCCGGGCUCAACCUGGGAACUGCAUCCGAUACUGGAUCACUAGAAUGCGGGAGAGGGAGGUAGAAUUCCAUGUGUAGCAGUGAAAUGCG